AACCAUAGAAACCUGCGGAGUACCUGCGGAAGGAUCAUUACAGAGUUGCAAAACUCCCUAAACCAUUGUGAACGUUACCUAAACCGUUGCUUCGGCGGGCGGCCCGGGUCCUUCCCGGCGCCCAUCGGCCCUCGCGGGCGCCCGCCGGAGGUAAACCAAACUAUUGCAUUGUAUGGCCUCUCUGAGUCCUCUGUACUGAAUAAGUCAAAACUUUCAACAACGGAUCUCAGAUCGGAAGAG
rnacentral:misc_RNA from 1 species